UACGUAGGGGGCUAGCGUUGUCCGGAAUCAUUGGGCGUAAAGCGCGUGUAGGCGGUCCGGUAAGUCCGCUGUGAAAGUCGGGGGCUCAACCCUCGGAUGCCGGUGGAUACUGUCGGGCUUGAGUACGGAAGAGGCGAGUGGAAUUCCUGGUGUAGCGGUGAAAUGCGCAGAUAUCAGGAGGAACACCAAUUGCGAAGGCGGCAUCCUGGACCGGCAUUGACGCUGAGGCGCGAAAGCCAGGGGAGCAAACGGG
rnacentral:rRNA from 1 species